rnacentral:tRNA from 1 species
GAGGGUAUAGCUCAGUGGAAGAGUGCAUGCUUAGCAUGCACGAGGUCCUGGGUUCAAUCCCCAGUACCACCA